rnacentral:tRNA from 1 species
CAUUAGGAAGCUAAAUAGGACAAGCGUUAGCCUUUUAAGCUAAAGACUGGUGAUUCCAACCACCCCUAAUGA